rnacentral:precursor_RNA from 1 species
CGCGGCGGCGGCGGCGGAGGGGGGCGCCCGCGCCCCCGCCCGCACGUCGCCCCUCCUGCGAG